CCUACGGGUGGCAGCAGUGGGGAAUAUUGCACAAUGGGGGAAACCCUGAUGCAGCAACGCCGCGUGAGUGAAGAAGUAUUUCGGUAUGUAAAGCUCUAUCAGCAGGGAAGAAGAUGAAGGUACCUGAGUAAGAAGCCCCGGCGAACUACGUGCCAGCAGACACGGUAAUACGUAGGGCGCAAGCGUUAGCCGGAUUUACUGGGUGUAAAGGGAGCGUAUACGGUGAGACAAGUCUGAAGUGAAAGCCCGGGGCUCAACCCAGGGACUGCUUUGGAAACUGGCUGACUGGAGUGCGGGAGAGGAAAGCGGAAUUCCUAGUGUAGUGGUGAAAUGCGUAGAUAUGAGGAAGAACACCAGUGGCGAAGGCGGCUUGCUGGACAGUAACUGACGUUGAGGCGCGAAAGCGUGGGGAGCAAACAGGAUUAGAUACCCCUGUAGUC
rnacentral:rRNA from 1 species